rnacentral:misc_RNA from 1 species
UUUCCGUAGGUGAACCUGCGGAAGGAUCAUUAGUGAAUCUUGGGCGUCUCUUCCACAGAGAGCCCGUCUUCCACUUUUAACCCUGUGCACUUGUCGUCGGUUCCGCCUUUCCGGGCGUGAGCUGAUCAGUUUUUUCACACCUUUUUUAAACGCAAGUUUGAAGAAUGUAACAAACACAUAACAAAAUAAAACUUUCAACAACGGAUCUCUUGGCUCUCACAUCGAUGAAGAACGCAGC